rnacentral:rRNA from 1 species
UACGAAGGUGGCAAGCGUUGUUCGGAUUCACUGGGCGUACAGGGUGUGUAGGCGGUUUGGUAAGCCUUCUGUUAAAGCUUCGGGCCCAACCCGGAAAGCGCAGAGGGUACUGCCAGGCUAGAGGGUGGGAGAGGAGCGCGGAAUUCCCGGUGUAGCGGUGAAAUGCGUAGAGAUCGGGAGGAAGGCCGGUGGCGAAGGCGGCGCUCUGGAACAUACCUGACGCCGAGACACGAAAGCGUGGGGAGCAAACAGG